UCCCCCCAUCGCACCCUUCCUCCCUCGUCCCCAGCUCCUCACCACCACCGCCACCCCUUGUCUCGACCUCUCCCUCACCCCUCUCUUCCCGUAGCCAGCGGCGGCGCCCUCCUUCCCUCGCGCUGCACCCGAACCUCGCUCCCGCUCCCAGCUCUUCUUCCUCCUCCACCACAGCUAGGGUUUCGUCUUCCCGAUCCCCAAUCCCCGAAGCUCGGAUCCAGCAGCAGCAAUAGCGAUGGUGGCCGCGGGAGAUCCUCUCCAAGGUCAAGCACGUCCAGGCCAAGCCUGCUGGCCGCCCUCGCGGGUGGCUGGCUCUGCGGCGACGACGGCGGCCUCGUCGUCCCCGGAGGCCACGAUGCCCCUCAAGGCCGACCUGGCGCCCUUGGCGCUCACGCCACUGGUGCGGGCCCUCGUUCACCACAUUGUAGAAGCUGGGCGCGCUCGUGCGGGACAAGGUGGUGCACGAGCACGAGGGGUGGAGACUCGUGACCUGCAUCUGGCUCCACGCCGGUGUCGUCCGCCUGCUCGCCAACAUGCUCAACCUCAUGCUCGUUGGGCUCAGGCUCGAGCAGCAGUUCAAAUUCGGUACAUUGAGAGUCGGCAUCAUCUACCUCGUGUCUGGCUUCGGGGGCAGCGUGAUGUAGUCCCUGUUCAUUAGAGACAAAAUCUCCGUGCACGCCUCCGGUGCGCUCUUUGGGCUGCUUGGAUUCAUGCUGUCAAAGCUCUUCACCAACUAGACCAUCUACACCAACAAGCACAUGGGUUCCAUGGGGGUACAACAGCAGGAGGACGACCAUGACUCCAUCAAGUGCAAGUUCCAGGUACUAAUCCCACUCAGCUCUUUCCAGUAGCGCAUCCAUUACUCAUACCCUUGCUGCCUCCAAAUCACGAGUGAUGAGAUAACGUCAUGGAGAGUGGGAAUUUUUGUUUCCUAGCUUAGAAAUUGAGUUAAAGCCAUGUCAUGGAAAGCUCCUCCUAUUUAGUUGAACCAUAUAUAGUUCAACUAAAUAACUAAGCUCAAACACAAACAUGCCUUUUUCAUCAUUGAGCAAAAACUGAGUUGCAUGCGAUUGCUAGGUACUAGUAGUUUAGUUGUAUUCGAGAUGCGAUACACUAAAGGUUAAUUAUACAUAUCCACACAGCAAGUAUACAUUAUUGUAGUAUACAUUUCACAUAUGUGUCUUAUCUUUGAAGCUCUACAAUAUUCAUGUGUAUAUUAUAAUGUACCGAAUGAGGCACUAUGAUUCUGAAUUCUUAGGUUUGAUUCAUGUGUAUACAAUAAUUUACCGAAUAAGCAAACUUAUGUGAAUAUACUACGCUUGAUGUUGAUCAUCUGGUGGAUUAGUAUGCAGUUCUCACUGUUAGUUCUUCUUUUCUUGAUUCAUUUAUACUAUAUGAUUCAGGUUUUAUACUUUGCUAGUAGGUAGCUCAUACUGCCCGCUGUGCAAAUUGUGUAGAGGCUAGAUCCUAGACAUGCAAGCUGUUGUUCUUUAUGGGUGUACCAUGCUAUUGAAUUUACAGUUUGAACACAGAUGGAUGAGUUAUUUAUGCUUAUCACUUUCUUCUUUGUCGUUCACUUGCAAUGCCUAUUGUACUAAUAAGCAAGGUCAAGCAUGGAGGUUUCAAGAGCAUCCCUUCGUCCUGGUAAUGUUUUUUUGUUCCUUCUUAGUCCGCUUGAGUGGAUCCUCUGAAUCAAAUCACGUGUCCUUUGUUCAUCUUAAUUAGAACAUUUGGCCAUUUGCAAAUUAUUGUUUUGUUAAUUGUAGGUUAUCUUUCUGGUUUGCCUGACAAAACUCCACAGUUUGUUGGCUUUGGGACAAAACAAGAUCCGAUUCCUCUCUAGGUUCAGCGCCAAUGAUCUCACUUUGGGGUGUGCUAUUGCUACGGUGCCCGCAUUUGCUUCCAUUUCUUCUCACAAGCAUAUGCACCUGCACGUCUAGUCUGUGGGUGACCGAGGAAGGCAUGUCGCUGUUUUGUUUGUUCCCAGCCCUGACUAUGGUUGUCCAACGAGUCUGCAUGUUGUUCAUCUAACUAUAGUCGUCCAACGAGCUUGGCAUGUUGUUCAUGACGGGAGCAGGUGCCUAGUUUGUGAUUUCUAUGGAAGGAGUUUGUAAAGCUUGUAGAGCUUGUAAAGUAUUGUAUUACACUUGUAGUUGUUACUGUGAUUGCCAUUGUAUUACAUGAUCUAGUGUGAUUGCCAUUGUAUUACAUGAUCUAGUUUCUCUUACGUGAAGUAUCAUGUGUGUUUCA